UACAGAGGUCCCAAGCGUUGUUCGGAUUCACUGGGCGUAAAGGGUGCGUAGGCGGCGCGGUAAGUCGGGUGUGAAAUCUCGGAGCUUAACUCCGAAACUGCAUUCGAUACUGCCGUGCUUGAGGACUGGAGAGGAGACUGGAAUUUACGGUGUAGCGGUGAAAUGCGUAGAUAUCGUAAGGAAGACCAGUGGCGAAGGCGGGUCUCUGGGCAUUUCCUGACGCUGAGGCGCGAAAGCGUGGGGAGCAAACGGG
rnacentral:rRNA from 1 species